GACGAACGCUGGCGGCGUGCUUAACACAUGCGAGUCGAACGGAAAGGCCCUGCUUUUGUGGGGUGCUCGAGUGGCGAACGGGUGAGUAACACGUGAGUAACCUGCCCUUGACUUUGGGAUAACUUCAGGAAACUGGGGCUAAUACCGGAUAGGAGCUCCUACUGCAUGGUGGGGGUUGGAAAGUUUCGGCGGUUGGGGAUGGACUCGCGGCUUAUCAGCUUGUUGGUGGGGUAGUGGCUUACCAAGGCUUUGACGGGUAGCCGGCCUGAGAGGGUGACCGGCCACAUUGGGACUGAGAUACGGCCCAGACUCCUACGGGAGGCAGCAGUGGGGAAUAUUGCACAAUGGGCGGAAGCCUGAUGCAGCAACGCCGCGUGCGGGAUGACGGCCUUCGGGUUGUAAACCGCUUUCGCCUGUGACGAAGCGUGAGUGACGGUAAUGGGUAAAGAAGCACCGGCUAACUACGUG
rnacentral:rRNA from 1 species